UUUCCGUAGGUGAACCUGCGGAAGGAUCAUUAUUGUAUAACCGAGGUGCGAGUGCUGUCGCUGACCCGAAAGGUCGUGCACGCCCGAGUGCCCUCACACACGUCCAUGUCACCCCUAUGUGCACCACCGCGUGAGUCCCCCUUUGGCUUGUUCGGAGGGGGGCUUACGUUUUCACACAAACUUUGUAUGCAGUGUAGAAUGUAUUUUUUGUUUUUGCGAUCACGCAAUCAAUACAACUUUCAACAACGGAUCUCUUGGCUCUC
rnacentral:misc_RNA from 1 species